rnacentral:rRNA from 1 species
CAGCAGCCGCGGUAAUACGUAGGUCCCGAGCGUUGUCCGGAUUUAUUGGGCGUAAAGGGAGCGCAGGCGGUUUAGUAAGUCUGAAGUUAAAGGCAUUGGCUCAACCAAUGUAUGCUUUGGAAACUGUUAGACUUGAGUGCAGAAGGGGAGAGUGGAAUUCCAUGCGUAGCGGUGAAAUGCGUAGAUAUAUGGAGGAACACCGGUGGCGAAAGCGGCUCUCUGGUCUGUCACUGACUCUGAGGCUCGAAAGCGUGGGUAGCGAACAGGAUUAGAUACCCCCGGUAGUCCCUGUCUCUUAUAC